rnacentral:sRNA from 1 species
AGUAACGGAGCUCGAGGCACUUGUUUAC